AUACAUUGCUUUGAUAAAAGUAGAAAUUUAAAAAUGUAAAUAACAUUAACAUUCUUCUGUUUUUACAGCAGCUGUGUUCCAGCACCAUGGACAGGUGACACUGGGGUAAAGCAGAAAUGCUGAUGAUGUCACAGAGCAGACAAAUGAAUUUUGGCAGCCAGUCAAGUGCCAGGCCACACAGGAAGCUGCGCCACACAUCUUCCCAAGUUGCACGUGGAUCUCCUGAGGCCAUGUCUUCCUUCUCCCAGAAUCACCAGCCUCUAUUCUCCUGUAAAAGUUCCUUCACACUGUCUGAAUGUCCUCUUCUCCAAAUGCUACUGUGCCAGUGUCCUCACUCGGGUCCUGACUGCCUGUCGUAGCCAGCAGCCUCCUCAGUGUGGAGUACGGAAGGCAAUGGCAAACCGGCAUCGGUAGAUGUGAGUCAGUGGACAGACAUGGGGAGGGUGCUGGCGGUCAGCAGGGAGAGGUCCUUCCACAGGGCUCACCCUCCCCACAGUCUGCUCCAAGGCAGCCGCUUAUAGUCCCCACCCCAGGAUGCUGGCGCCUGCUAGUGACACCGGAAGACGUGCCUUACUGACGGAAUGACCAGAAGCUGGCCGUCCACAGGCUCAUGAUCCCGGAUGGACGCCCACUGGCCCACAGAGUUUGCCCUGAGUCCCUGAUCACAAUGUUCUUUGGUCCCAUGACGCCCAAACUGGGUGGGUCACUCACCUUGGUGAGUGUGCAUUUCUUCAUAUUAUUACUUUAUGUUCAUUUGCCUUCUCUUCCUUAGAAGGAAAACUCUCAGGAACGGGAACGCAAUCCUUCAUUUCUUCCAUAUCUCCUCGCAGCCUCUAAGAGUGUUCUGUAGCCCUAAGGUCCCCGAUGAAAAGGGUGACUUAAGCAUUUUAAUGAACCCGAGUACAGAUCAAGGCUGGGUGAGAAUACCCUUAGAAUAAGACCUUCAUUCAUGUCUCAGGUUUCGGUGUAUUUAUAGAGCAAGAAGGAUCCUGGCACUUUGGGCAGGUCUGCUGCAGUUCUGCUGGACCAGGAGGUCCAGGUGCCAACAGCCAUCACUCAGCUGUGUCAGAGGUCAUGACUGCACCACCGGAGACAUAGGCUGUUCUAUUUGGUGGUGGGGGGCUGUUUCUGUUUUUAUUUGUUUUUAACUGGGGUGUGUGUGUGUGUGUGUGUGUGUGUGUGUGUCAGAACCACACAGCAGCAGUGAGAAGCUUCCACCUGCUUGGAGCAAAAAUACGAGCCUGCGUUUCAGGCCCAAGUUUACUUUGUGUGUUGCAUGCGCAGCAUCAACAGGAAAAAGUGGUAAGAUUGGUCCACACACCACAACUUUAACCCUCAAAAGAGUGCCUUCUAAAUUGCUUGGUUUUGUGUUUUCAUUUGUUUUCCUGAAUUCAACUAGAUUUGGAGCCUGCAAAUUCCUGACCCUACACGAGCCCUCUGGGUGAGAGAUUGCAUUUUUGAGUUAGUACAUGUCACUUCGGAAUGUGUUAUCGUGGUGUCAAGGAUAUAGUUUGUUAAAAUGUAGGAAUUGCCAUAAAGCCUCUCAUUAAAAAUAAGCAAACAACAAAACUUCUCACCAAACAUAAACCACUUUUUUCUGCUGUUCCCCAAGCAACGCCUGACUCUUUUCUGUUGUGGUGUCCCACGGGUGUUAGCUGUGGCUCCCUGAGAGUCACUGAGGGUUACUGUAGCUUGUCACUCCUCCUCAAGCACCUUCCUGCUGAGUUCACAGACUUCCCCAG
rnacentral:lncRNA from 1 species